rfam:Miscellaneous Crenarchaeota group-6 archaeon AD8-1 WOR_8-12_8682, whole genome shotgun sequence.
UUUGCCGGUCAUAGGGCACGGGUUCCACCUGAUCCCAUUCCGAACUCAGAAGUUAAACUGUGUUCCGUUCCCCGCUGUAGUGUGGUCUUCGGCCACGUGAACCUGGGAAAACUGGCAGCC